rnacentral:rRNA from 1 species
UGGGGAAUCUUGCACAAUGGGGGCAACCCUGAUGCAGCGACGCCGCGUGAGCGAUGAAGCCCUUCGGGGCGUAAAGCUCUUUCGACCGGAACGAUAAUGACGGUACCGGGAGAAGAAGCUGCGGCUAACUACGUGCCAGCAGCCGCGGUAAUACGUAGGCAGCAAGCGUUGUUCGGAGUUACUGGGCGUAAAGAGUGCGUAGGCGGUUUUCUAAGUUCGGCGUGAAAUCUCCCGGCUUAACUGGGAGGGUGCGCCGAAGACUGGGAAGCUGGAGUGUGGGAAAGGCAGGCGGAAUUCCUGGUGUAGCGGUGAAAUGCGUAGAUAUCAGGAGGAACACCGGCGGUGUAGACGGCUUGCUAGACCAUAACUGACGCUGAGGCACGAAAGCGUGGGUAGCAAACA